AUGCAGUCGAGCGGACAGAUGGGAGCUUGCUCCCUGAUGUUAGCGGCGGACGGGUGAGUAACACGUGGGUAACCUGCCUGUAAGACUGGGAUAACUCCGGGAAACCGGGGCUAAUACCGGAUGGUUGUUUGAACCGCAUGGUUCAAACAUAAAAGGUGGCUUCGGCUACCACUUACAGAUGGACCCGCGGCGCAUUAGCUAGUUGGUGAGGUAACGGCUCACCAAGGCAACGAUGCGUAGCCGACCUGAGAGGGUGAUCGGCCACACUGGGACUGAGACACGGCCCAGACUCCUACGGGAGGCAGCAGUAGGGAAUCUUCCGCAAUGGACGAAAGUCUGACGGAGCAACGCCGCGUGAGUGAUGAAGGUUUUCGGAUCGUAAAGCUCUGUUGUUAGGGAAGAACAAGUACCGUUCGAAUAGGGCGGUACCUUGACGGUACCUAACCAGAAAGCCACGGCUAACUACGUGCCAGCAGCCGCGGUAAUACGUAGGUGGCAAGCGUUGUCCGGAAUUAUUGGGCGUAAAGGGCUCGCAGGCGGUUUCUUAAGUCUGAUGUGAAAGCCCCCGGCUCAACCGGGGAGGGUCAUUGGAAACUGGGGAACUUGAGUGCAGAAGAGGAGAGUGGAAUUCCACGUGUAGCGGUGAAAUGCGUAGAGAUGUGGAGGAACACCAGUGGCGAAGGCGACUCUCUGGUCUGUAACUGACGCUGAGGAGCGAAAGC
rnacentral:rRNA from 2 species